rnacentral:rRNA from 1 species
GACGAACGCUGGCGGCGUGCCUAAUACAUGCAAGUCGAACGCUUCUUUCCUCCCGAGUGCUUGCACUCAAUUGGAAAGAGGAGUGGCGGACGGGUGAGUAACACGUGGGUAACCUACCCAUCAGAGGGGGAUAACACUUGGAAACAGGUGCUAAUACCGCAUAACAGUUUAUGUCGCAUGGCAUAAGAGUGAAAGGCGCUUUCGGGUGUCGCUGAUGGAUGGACCCGCGGUGCAUUAGCUAGUUGGUGAGGUAACGGCUCACCAAGGCCACGAUGCAUAGCCGACCUGAGAGAGUGAUCGGCCACACUGGGACUGAGACACGGCCCAGACUCCUACGGGAGGCAGCAGUAGGGAAUCUUCGGCAAUGGACGAAAGUCUGACCGAGCAACGCCGCGUGAGUGAAGAAGGUUUUCGGAUCGUAAAACUCUGUUGUUAGAGAAGAACAAGGACGUUAGUAACUGAACGUCCCCUGACGGUAUCUAACCAGAAAGCCACGGCUAACUACGUGCCAGCAGCCGCGGUAAUACGUAGGUGGCAAGCGUUGUCCGGAUUUAUUGGGCGUAAAGCGAGCGCAGGCGGUUUCUUAAGUCUGAUGUGAAAGCCCCCGGCUCAACCGGGGAGGGUCAUUGGAAACUGGGAGACUUGAGUGCAGAAGAGGAGAGUGGAAUUCCAUGUGUAGCGGUGAAAUGCGUAGAUAUAUGGAGGAACACCAGUGGCGAAGGCGGCUCUCUGGUCUGUAACUGACGCUGAGGCU